rnacentral:rRNA from 1 species
GGGACGGUUCUCGGGAUUAUUGGGCGUAAGCGCGCGCAGGUGGUUCCUUAAGUCUGAUGUGAAAGCCCACGCGCUCAACCGUAGGAGGGUCAUUUGAAACUGGGGAACUUGAGUGCAGAAGAGGAAAAUGGAAUUCCAAGUGUAGCGGUGAAAUGCGUAGAGAUUUGGAGGAACACCAGUGGCGAAGGCGACUUUCUGGUCUGUAACUGACACUGAGGCGCGAAAGCGUGGGGAGCGAACAGGAUUAGAUACCCUGGUAGUCCACGCCGUAAACGAUGAGUGCUAAGUGUUAGAGGGUUUCCGCCCUUUAGUGCUGCAGCAAACGCAUUAAGCACUCCGCCUGGGGAGUACGACCGCAAGGUUGAAACUCAAAGGAAUUGACGGGGGCCCGCACAAGCGGUGGAGCAUGUGGUUUAAUUCGAAGCAACGCGAAGAACCUUACCAGGUCUUGACAUCCUCUGACAAUCCUAGAGAUAGGACGUUCCCCUUCGGGGGACAGAGUGACAGGUGGUGCAUGGUUGUCGUCAGCUCGUGUCGUGAGAUGUUGGGUUAAGUCCCGCAACGAGCGCAACCCUUGAUCUUAGUUGCCAGCAUUCAGUUGGGCACUCUAAGGUGACUGCCGGUGACAAACCGGAGGAAGGUGGGGAUGACGUCAAAUCAUCAUGCCCCUUAUGACCUGGGCUACACACGUGCUACAAUGGAUGGUACAAAGGGCUGCAAGACCGCGAGGUUUAGCCAAUCCCAUUAAAACCAUUUCUCAGUUUCGGAUUGCAGGCUGCAACUCGCCUGCAUGAAGCCGGAAUCGCUAGUAAUCGCGGAUCAGCAUGCCCGGGUGAAAUACGUUCCCGGGGCCUUGUACACACCGCCCGUCACACCACGAGAGUUUGUAACACCCGAAGUCGGUGGGGUAACCUUUUGGAGCCAGCCGCCUAAGGUGGGACAGAUGAUUGGGGUGAAGCUAGAGGGGGGCCCCCGCAUAAAAGGGGGGAGCUCUUACCCCGGUG